rnacentral:tRNA from 1 species
GCGUCUGUAGCUCAGUGGAUAGAGCGUUCGACUCCGACUCGAAAGGUCACAGGUUCGACUCCUGCCAGACGCACCA